GGCGUUAAGUUGCAGGGUAUAGACCCGAAACCCGGUGAUCUAGCCAUGGGCAGGUUGAAGGUUGGGUAACACUAACUGGAGGACCGAACCGACUAAUGUUGAAAAAUUAGCGGAUGACUUGUGGCUGGGGGUGAAAGGCCAAUCAAACCGGGAGAUAGCUGGUUCUCCCCGAAAGCUAUUUAGGUAGCGCCUCGUGAAUUCAUCUCCGGGGGUAGAGCACUGUUUCGGCAAGGGGGUCAUCCCGACUUACCAACCCGAUGCAAACUGCGAAUACCGGAGAAUGUUAUCACGGGAGACACACGGCGGGUGCUAACGUCCGUCGUGAAGAGGGAAACAACCCAGACCGCCAGCUAAGGUCCCAAAGUCAUGGUUAAGUGGGAAACGAUGUGGGAAGGCCCAGACAGCCAGGAUGUUGGCUUAGAAGCAGCCAUCAUUUAAAGAAAGCGUAAUAGCUCACUGGUCGAGUCGGCCUGCGCGGAAGAUGUAACGGGGCUAAACCAUGCACCGAAGCUGCGGCAGCGACACUGUGUGUUGUUGGGUAGGGGAGCGUUCUGUAAGCCUGUGAAGGUGUACUGUGAGGUAUGCUGGAGGUAUCAGAAGUGCGAAUGCUGACAUAAGUAACGAUAAAGCGGGUGAAAAGCCCGCUCGCCGGAAGACCAAGGGUUCCUGUCCAACGUUAAUCGGGGCAGGGUGAGUCGACCCCUAAGGCGAGGCCGAAAGGCGUAGUCGAUGGGAAACAGGUUAAUAUUCCUGUACUUGGUGUUACUGCGAAGGGGGGACGGAGAAGGCUAUGUUGGCCGGGCGACGGUUGUCCCGGUUUAAGCGUGUAGGCUGGUUUUCCAGGCAAAUCCGGAAAAUCAAGGCUGAGGCGUGAUGACGAGGCACUACGGUGCUGAAGCAACAAAUGCCCUGCUUCCAGGAAAAGCCUCUAAGCAUCAGGUAACAUCAAAUCGUACCCCAAACCGACACAGGUGGUCAGGUAGAGAAUACCAAGGCGCUUGAGAGAACUCGGGUGAAGGAACUAGGCAAAAUGGUGCCGUAACUUCGGGAGAAGGCACGCUGAUAUGUAGGUGAAGUCCCUCGCGGAUGGAGCUGAAAUCAGUCGAAGAUACCAGCUGGCUGCAACUGUUUAUUAAAAACACAGCACUGUGCAAACACGAAAGUGGACGUAUACGGUGUGACGCCUGCCCGGUGCCGGAAGGUUAAUUGAUGGGGUCAGCGCAAGCGAAGCUCUUGAUCGAAGCCCCGGUAAACGGCGGCCGUAACUAUAACGGUCCUAAGGUAGCGAAAUUCCUUGUCGGGUAAGUUCCGACCUGCACGAAUGGCGUAAUGAUGGCCAGGCUGUCUCCACCCGAGACUCAGUGAAAUUGAACUCGCUGUGAAGAUGCAGUGUACCCGCGGCAAGACGGAAAGACCCCGUGAACCUUUACUAUAGCUUGACACUGAACAUUGAGCCUUGAUGUGUAGGAUAGGUGGGAGGCUUUGAAGUGUGGACGCCAGUCUGCAUGGAGCCGACCUUGAAAUACCACCCUUUAAUGUUUGAUGUUCUAACGUGGACCCGUGAUCCGGGUUGCGGACAGUGUCUGGUGGGUAGUUUGACUGGGGCGGUCUCCUCCUAAAGAGUAACGGAGGAGCACGAAGGUUGGCUAAUCCUGGUCGGACAUCAGGAGGUUAGUGCAAUGGCAUAAGCCAGCUUGACUGCGAGCGUGACGGCGCGAGCAGGUGCGAAAGCAGGUCAUAGUGAUCCGGUGGUUCUGAAUGGAAGGGCCAUCGCUCAACGGAUAAAAGGUACUCCGGGGAUAACAGGCUGAUACCGCCCAAGAGUUCAUAUCGACGGCGGUGUUUGGCACCUCGAUGUCGGCUCAUCACAUCCUGGGGCUGAAGUAGGUCCCAAGGGUAUGGCUGUUCGCCAUUUAAAGUGGUACGCGAGCUGGGUUUAGAACGUCGUGAGACAGUUCGGUCCCUAUCUGCCGUGGGCGCUGGAGAACUGAGGGGGGCUGCUCCUAGUACGAGAGGACCGGAGUGGACGCAUCACUGGUGUUCGGGUUGUCAUGCCAAUGGCACUGCCCGGUAGCUAAAUGCGGAAGAGAUAAGUGCUGAAAGCAUCUAAGCACGAAACUUGCCCCGAGAUGAGUUCUCCCUGACCCUUUAAGGGUCCUGAAGGAACGUUGAAGACGACGACGUUGAUAGGCCGGGUGUGUAAGCGCAGCGAUGCGUUGAGCUAACCGGUACUAAUGAACCGUGAGGCUUAACC
rnacentral:rRNA from 1 species